GUUACAGCGUUAUCUGAUUUAUGUUUGUGUUUUAAAAUUUACUGGUGGCAUGUUACAUAUGUAUUACAUAUCAAUGCUUCUGCUCAUCCUAUUUAGUUACAUAUAGGUAGUCUAUGACUCACAAAAGGCAUGUGUGAGUAAAAUAUGAACAGUCUGCUGGGUUUUCCUCACAUUCUCCCAGUCAGUACAGUCCCUGAGCCCUGCCCUAUGCAUAGAGGGUCUAACUGUGACAAUAGAAAUAGCUAAAGAGAAAAGAAUUCAUCUUCUGGAGCGAUCUUUGUGUUUCUCUUUAGAGCAACUAAGCCUUGUUAUGUGUUAUGUGAGUUAUGUGAGUACUGUGACAUUUUAAACAAAUAAAAGGAUUAUUUUCAAGAA